rnacentral:rRNA from 1 species
UAAUACGUAGGGUCCAAGCGUUAUUCGGAAUUACUGGGCGUAAAGCGUACGUAGGCGGUUUGGUAAGUUGGAUGUGAAAUCCCCCUGCUCAACGGGGUGGACUGUGUCCAAAACUACCUAACUAGAGCAUAGUAGAGGCAAGUGGAAUUUGCGGUGUAGGAGUGACAUCCGUAGAUAUCGCAAGGAACACCAAUGGCGAAGGCAGCUUGCUGGGCUAUUGCUGACGCUCAGGUACGAAAGCGUGGGGAGCGAACGGG